rnacentral:misc_RNA from 1 species
GAUGAAGAACGUAGUGAAAUGCGAAACGUAAUGUGAAUUGCAGAAUUCAGUGAAUCAUCGAGUCUUUGAACGCACAUUGCGCCCCCUGGUAUUCCGGGGGGCAUGCCUGUCCGAGCGUCAUUGCUGCCCUCAAGCACGGCUUGUGUGUUGGGCCUCCGUCCUCCUCCCGGGGGACGGGCCCGAAAGGCAGCGGCGGCACCGCGUCCGGUCCUCGAGCGUAUGGGGCUUCGUCACCCGCUCUUGUAGGCCCGGCCGGCGCUUGCCGACACAUCAAUCUUUUUUCCAGGUUGACCUCGGAUCAGGUAGGGAUACCCGCUGAACUUAAGCAUAUCAAUAAGCGGAGGA